rnacentral:rRNA from 1 species
GACGAACGCUGGCGGCGUGCUUAACACAUGCAAGUCGAACGGAAAGGCCUCUUUCGGGGGGUACUCGAGUGGCGAACGGGUGAGUAACACGUGAGUAACCUGCCCUUGACUUUGGGAUAACUUCAGGAAACUGGGGCUAAUACCGGAUAGGAGCUCCUGCUGCAUGGUGGGGGUUGGAAAGUUUCGGCGGUUGGGGAUGGACUCGCGGCUUAUCAGCUUGUUGGUGGGGUAGUGGCUUACCAAGGCUUUGACGGGUAGCCGGCCUGAGAGGGUGACCGGCCACAUUGGGACUGAGAUACGGCCCAGACUCCGACGGGAGGCAGCAGUGGGGAAUAUUGCACAAGGGGUGGAAGCCGGAUGCAGCAACGCCGUGGGCGGGAGGACGGCCUUCGGGUUGGAAACCGCUUUCGCUCAUGACGAAGCUUUGUGUGACGGUAGUGGGUAAAGAAGCACCGGCUAACUACGUG